rnacentral:pre_miRNA from 1 species
UAAAAAACAGUUUUCAGAAUGAGCUUCCGGCCUCCGUCCACGACACUUUUUUUGGUAGUUGGACGUUAAGCCUUGCCUGUAAAAAUAGGCGAUUACUUUACUUUCUACUUUUACUUUUAAUCGUCUAUUUUUUGGAGGCAGGGCUUAACGUCCAACUACCAAAAAAAGUGUCGUGGACGGAGGCCGGAAGCUCAUUCUGAAAACUGUUUUUUA